UACGUAGGGUGCAAGCGUUAAUCGGAAUUACUGGGCGUAAAGCGUGCGCAGGCGGUUUUGUAAGUCUGAUGUGAAAUCCCCGGGCUCAACCUGGGAAUUGCAUUGGAGACUGCAAGGCUAGAAUCUGGCAGAGGGGGGGUAGAAUUCCACGUGUAGCAGUGAAAUGCGUAGAGAUGUGGAGAACACCGGAUGGCGAAGGCAGCCCCCCUGGGUCAAGAUUGACGCUCAUGCACGAAAGGCGUGGG
rnacentral:rRNA from 1 species